GCCGCCCUAAAAUCCCUUUCCUAUCUAAUUCUCUCUGAGACCUAAACCUAACCCUAGUCGUCUCCCUCCGAUUACCACCAAAAGUCGCCUGGAUCCAUGGCCUCCAAAGCUAUUAACGGCCUAUACUUGCCUCCUAAGGCUCUUAGGUGCUCGAUUAUCUUGGUUUCCAGGCCAAACCUUGAGGAAGAUUGGCCUAGACCCUAUUUUAUUUGAGUCAUCUAGUCUGAUUCCGACCUUGCCCUGGCUAACCACGGUUGUUUAAGCUUGGUAUUGAUGUCUCCUGCUUAGAUCGAGACUUUUCGAGCCUUUGAGGUUCUUCUGAUUCUUUUAGAUCCGUUGUAGAUCUAUGUUCUCUUUGAGCUUCUGAGCACUUUUCCGAGAUUUUCUUCAAACC
rnacentral:lncRNA from 1 species